rnacentral:rRNA from 1 species
AGCGAACGCUGGCGGCAGGCUUAACACAUGCAAGUCGAGCGGGCACUUUCGGGUGUCAGCGGCGGACGGGUGAGUAACGCGUGGGAACGUGCCCUCUGGUUCGGAAUAACUCAGGGAAACUUGAGCUAAUACCGGAUACGCCCUUUUGGGGAAAGGCUUGCUGCCGGAGGAUCGGCCCGCGUCUGAUUAGCUAGUUGGUGAGGUAACGGCUCACCAAGGCGACGAUCAGUAGCUGGUCUGAGAGGAUGAUCAGCCACACUGGGACUGAGACACGGCCCAGAAUCCUACGGGAGGCAGCAGUGGGGGAUAUUGGACAAUGGGCUCAAGCAUGAACCAGCCAUGCCGGGUGAGUGAUGAAGGCCGUAGGGUUGUAAAGCUCUUUUAUCCGGGACGAUAAUGACGGUACCGGAGGAAUAAGCCCCGGCUAACUUCGUG